rnacentral:rRNA from 1 species
UUGCAGUUAAAAAGCUCGUAGUUGGAUUUCUGCGAGAGUGUCAAUGUCCGCCCACGCGCGUGUGCAGCGACGCCCUCGCAUCCUUCUGUUACCUCCUCUCGGCAUUCACUUGCCGGUGGCUGGCUCAGAGAAUUUACCUUGAGAAAAUUAGAGUGUUUCAGGCAGGCUAGGCCGGAAUACAUUAGCAUGGAAUAAUGGAAUAGGACUACGGUCUCGUUGUUGGUUUGAGGGACUGCAGUAAUGAUUAAUAGGGAUAGUUGGGGGCAUUAGUAUUUAAUUGUCAGAGGUGAAAUUCUCAGAUUUGUUAAAGACUAACUUAUGCGAAAGCAUUUGCCAAGGAUGUUUUCAUUAAUCAAGAACGAAAGUUAGGGGAUCAAAGACGAUCAGAUACCGUCCUAGUCUUAACCAUAAACUAUGC